rnacentral:rRNA from 1 species
AUUGAACGCUGGCGGCAGGCCUAACACAUGCAAGUCGAGCGAGCGUCGGGCGGGUGUGUAAUAUAUGUGGACUGCCCCCUAUAGGGGGAUAACUACUGUGAACAGUAGCUCAUAUCGCAUACUAUCGGCUACCCCCUAUGGGGUUGGCUCGUAGGUGUGGUAAUGGCUCACCUAGGCGACGAUCCCUAGCUGGUCUGAGAGGAUGAUCAGCCACACUGGGACUGAGACACGGCCCAGACUCCUACGGAGGCAGCAGUGGGGAAUAUUGCACAAUGGGCGCAAGCCUGAUGCAGCCAUGCCGCGUGUAUGAAGAAGGCCCUAGGGUUGUAAAGUACUUUCAGUGGGGAGGCGUUACCGAAAGAAGAAGCACCGGCUAACUCCGUGCCAGCAGCCGCGGUAAUAC